UACGGAGGGUGCAAGCGUUAUCCGGAUUCACUGGGUUUAAAGGGUGCGUAGGCGGGCAGGUAAGUCAGUGGUGAAAUACUUUCGCUUAACGAAGGAACUGCCAUUGAUACUACCAGUCUUGAAUACAGUGGAGGUAGGCGGAAUGCGUCAUGUAGCGGUGAAAUGCUUAGAUAUGACGCAGAACACCAAUUGCGAAGGCAGCUUGCUACACUGUUAUUGACACUGAGGCACGAAAGCGUGGGGAUCAAACAGG
rnacentral:rRNA from 1 species